CUGACGAGUGGCGGACGGGUGAGUAAUGUCUGGGAAACUGCCCGGUGGAGGGGGAUAACUACUGGAAACGGUAGCUAAUACCGCAUAACGUCGCAAGACCAAAGAGGGGGACCUUCGGGCCUCUUGCCACCGGAUGUGCCCAGAUGGGAUUAGCUUGUUGGUGGGGUAACGGCUCACCAAGGCGACGAUCCCUAGCUGGUCUGAGAGGAUGACCAGCCACACUGGAACUGAGACACGGUCCAGACUCCUACGGAAGGCAGCAG
rnacentral:rRNA from 1 species